GACGGAGGAUGCAAGCGUUAUCCGGAAUUAUUGGGCGUAAAGCGUCUGCAGGUGGCCUAUCAAGUCUGCUGUCAAAGACCGGGGCUUAACCCCAGAAAGGCAGUGGAAACUGAAAGGCUAGAGGAUGGUAGGGGCAGAGGGAAUUCCCAGUGUAGCGGUGAAAUGCGUAGAGAUUGGGAAGAACACCGGUGGCGAAAGCGCACUGCUGGGCCAUAACUGACACUCAGGGACGAAAGCUAGGGGAGCGAAUGGG
rnacentral:rRNA from 1 species